rnacentral:rRNA from 1 species
UACGUAGGGUGCAAGCGUUGUCCGGAAUUAUUGGGCGUAAAGAGCUCGUAGGCGGUUUGUCGCGUCUGCUGUGAAAACUCAGGGCUUAACCCUGAGCCUGCAGUGGGUACGGGCAGACUAGAGUGUGGUAGGGGAGAUCGGAAUUCCUGGUGUAGCGGUGGAAUGCGCAGAUAUCGAGGAGGAACACCGGUGGCGAAGGCGGAUCUC